AUUUUGCGCAAUGGGGGGAACCCUGACGCAGCAACGCCGCGUGCGGGAUGAAGGCCUUCGGGUUGUAAACCGCUUUCAGCAGGGAAGAUAGUGACGGUACCUGCAGAAGAAGCCCCGGCUAACUACGUGCCAGCAGCCGCGGUAAUACGUAGGGGGCGAGCGUUAUCCGGAUUCAUUGGGCGUAAAGCGCGCGUAGGCGGCCCGUCAAGCGGAACCUCUAACCCGAGGGCUCAACCCCCGGUCGGGUUCCGAACUGGCAGGCUCGAGUUUGGUAGAGGAAGAUGGAAUUCCCGGUGUAGCGGUGGAAUGCGCAGAUAUCGGGAAGAACACCGAUGGCGAAGGCAGUCUUCUGGGCCAUCAACUGACGCUGAGGCGCGAAAGCUGGGGGAGCGAAAGG
rnacentral:rRNA from 1 species